GGUUGUACCCAAUCCCAUCAGAUGAAAAGUGACAAACGGUCUAGUAGGCGCCGCUCGUCGACCCUUUGUCCACUGGUUUUUUCCAAGUUGUAGUUAAUGGGGUGUAUGGAGUUUUUCUAUAUAAGGUGGUCCAAGGAAUGGUCGUCCCACUAUCUGUUUCAACGAUUCCUCUCUCCCUUUAUCAUUCUCUCUUCUUUCUUCAUUCUUCUCUCCUCUUCCUUAGUUUUUGGUUUGUUUUUUGGUGGUGGCCAUUUUGAGGACCUUUUGGAUAGUAAGGUGGUGCAAGUCAUGUUCUUAUUGACCAAAGGAGACCAAGUGUGUAGCAAGUGCAAGUUCUUUUGGAGACACAAAGGUGGCACAUGGAUAUGAAGUCAGAGCUUUUUUUCCAUCGUUCUUCCAUUUCUCAUUUCACUUUCUCCUAUUUUGUACAAAUGUUAUUUUUCCCGUGUAUGUCAAGUGUGCAUGGGGAGGAUUUCAUUUUUGGAAGGAGACCUUGCCAUGCAAACAAAUGGUUCCAAAGUGAACCCUUGGGCCCUAUGUGUAUUUUGGUGGGCCCAAGGUUCAUUUUAGUUCCAUCAUCUCUUUUCUUUUCAUGUACUUUUUUCCUUUUUGUUUAUCUUCUUUUCUUUUUUCCUUGAAGAUGGUUGGGCCCACAUGAAGUUUGGGAGGCUCACAUCAGAUUUUUUCUUGCCAAUACCUUGUAAAAUGGUUCCAGUUUACCCGUAGGCAUCAGAGAAUGACCCGUGAACCAUUGGGCCC